AGUUUGAUCCUGGCUCAGUUCAGAUCGUAGGCUGCAACUCGCCUACGUGAAGGAGGAAUCGCUAGUAAUCGCAGGUCAGCAUACUGCGGUGGAUACGUUCCCGGGCCUUGUACACACCGCCCGUCACACCAUGGAAGUUGGCCACGCCCGAAGUCGUUACUCCAACCCGCAAGGGAGGAGGAUGCCGAAGGUGGGGCUGAUGACUGGGGUGAAGUCGUAACAAGGUAGCCGUACCGGAAGGUGCGGCUGGAUCACCUCCUAACAGGGAGACAAACUGAUUGUGAUGUCUGAAUACUUUAUUUUCAGGCCAUGAUCCUGUCACUCUAGGUCGAUCGGUACCUCAACUGUGGAAGCGGAAUGGCAACAUGUCGGUGAAAACAGGUUCAGUUCCUAAACUUUGUCUAGGUCACACCCCAACGAUUUUUGUUGAGGACGUGUUGAAGCCUGAAAGAUGAAACGGUAGCGAUACUGAAUCAUCAAUCAGGUCAGACACAACUUUGACACGAUCGCGAGGUCGAACUCCUGGGCCAUUAGCUCAGGUGGUUAGAGCGCACCCCUGAUAAGGGUGAGGUCCCUGGUUCAAGUCCAGGAUGGCCCAUUCGUGUUUGGGGGUUUAGCUCAGUUGGUAGAGCGCCUGCUUUGCAAGCAGGAUGUCAGCGGUUCGAGUCCGCUAACCUCCAUUCCAAACUGAGGAGCGCCCUCACGGAACCAAAGGAGAGAUUUCUUUGGUGUGAUCUUGACGUCUUGUGACGAUUCCAGCCUGCUUUCAUUCCCUGAGUGGUUGAAAGCAUGCUGGAUUCCCUUGUCCGCAAGGAUAGGCGUUCAGCAAGAACCUUUGACAACUGCAUAGGAAAAGUCUGGGAAAAGAAAGCAUCUCAUAGACGCUGACUUU
rnacentral:misc_RNA from 1 species